CGAAUGGUUUGGUUGAUGAGUUUGAUGAAAGGAGGCGUUCCUUGUCGUCCUCUAAAGGAAAAAUGGAUUCUAUCGAUUGCAUCAACCAAAAGAUAAGAGACCUUGGCACAGAGUUGACGUCGUUUUAUCCUAAAAAUGAGCUUGUAAUAGAAAGUUAUGGUGAAAUAAGAUCAAAUGUUAGUAGUCAAAGC